GCAGUGGUGGUUCAGUGGUAGAAUUCUCACCUUUCACUCGGAAGACCUGGGUUCAAGUCCCAGCCAAUGCA
rnacentral:tRNA from 1 species